AACAAAUUUAUUAGGCAAGUUAAUCAUGAAUAUCAUGUUAGGAUAUUUUGUAAUCCUAAAAAUCAAACAAAUCAUACUAGAAUAUCUCACAAUCAUAAUAUUGAAGAUCAUGCUACAAUAUCCCACAAUCCUAAAGAUCAUAAAGAUAAUGUUAAAUUCAAACUCCAUGUAAUUGUUACAUACAUACUAUGGAGUUUGAAUUUAACAAGGAUUGUGGGAUAUAUAUAUAUAUAUAUAUGUGGAUGUAUCAAUACAAUAUUAUUAAGUUUUACUCGAACCAACUCAUCCAUUUCUUAGUUUUAACUUAGUAUUAGAGCUACACGGUAUACACAAUGAUAAUCCAUGGCCAAUUUUUUUUCCUUUAAAUAAUAUUUCUGCAUUUACUCCAUCAAAUAUUAAAAUUGGAUUACAUAAUUCACCCUAAUAUUGA
rnacentral:lncRNA from 1 species